ACGCUGGCGGCAGGCCUAACACAUGCAAGUCGAGCGGUAGCACAGGGAGCUUGCUCCUGGGUGACGAGCGGCGGACGGGUGAGUAAUGUCUGGGAAACUGCCUGAUGGAGGGGGAUAACUACUGGAAACGGUAGCUAAUACCGCAUAACGUCGCAAGACCAAAGAGGGGGACCUUCGGGCCUCUUGCCAUCAGAUGUGCCCAGAUGGGAUUAGCUAGUAGGUGGGGUAACGGCUCACCUAGGCGACGAUCCCUAGCUGGUCUGAGAGGAUGACCAGCCACACUGGAACUGAGACACGGUCCAGACUCCUACGGGAGGCAGCAGUGGGGAAUAUUGCACAAUGGGCGCAAGCCUGAUGCAGCCAUGCCGCGUGUAUGAAGAAGGCCUUCGGGUUGUAAAGUACUUUCAGCGGGGAGGAAGGCGAUAAGGUUAAUAACCUUGUCGAUUGACGUUACCCGCAGAAGAAGCACCGGCUAACUCCGUGCCAGCAGCCGCGGUAAUACGGAGGGUGCAAGCGUUAAUCGGAAUUACUGGGCGUAAAGCGCACGCAGGCGGUCUGUCAAGUCGGAUGUGAAAUCCCCGGGCUCAACCUGGGAACUGCAUUCGAAACUGGCAGGCUAGAGUCUUGUAGAGGGGGGUAGAAUUCCAGGUGUAGCGGUGAAAUGCGUAGAGAUCUGGAGGAAUACCGGUGGCGAAGGCGGCCCCCUGGACAAAGACUGAC
rnacentral:rRNA from 1 species